rnacentral:piRNA from 1 species
UGAUGACCGAUGAUUCUUCUUGCC